rnacentral:rRNA from 1 species
CCUACGGGAGGCAGCAGUGGGGAAUAUUGGGCAAUGGGCGCAAGCCUGACCCAGCAACGCCGCGUGAAGGAAGAAGGCUCUCGGGUUGUAAACUUCUUUUAUCAGGGACGAAGCAAGUGACGGUACCUGAUGAAUAAGCCUCGGCUAACUACGUGCCAGCAGCCGCGGUAAUACGUAGGUGGCAAGCGUUAUCCGGAUUUACUGGGUGUAAAGGGCGUGUAGGCGGGAAAGCAAGUCAGAUGUGAAAACCAUGGGCUCAACCUGUGGGCUGCAUUUGAAACUGUUUUUCUUGAGUACUGGAGAGGCAGGCGGAAUUCCUGGUGUAGCGGUGAAAUGCGUAGAUAUUAGGAGGAACACCAGUGGCGAAGGCGGUCUGCUGGACAGCAACUGACGCUGAGGCGCGAAAGCGUGGGGAGCAAACAGGAUUAGAUACCCCUGUAGUC